CUAAUUCUUCUUCUUCUUCUGGUAAAUCAAAAGGUAAUCUUUCACACUCGGCGAGAGAAGAAAUUAGAAAAAUGAUAAACCCGAUGGGUUGACGCCACAAAUUCCACCCCCAAAAACCAUAUUUUGACUGCGCUUCCACUAUAUCAACUGUACUUAAACUGUUAGAUAAUCAUAGUCGAUGAACAUCACUGUGCCCAUCGCUAUUACAGAACCGUACGUGAGAUUUUCACCUGAUACGGCUCCUCAGAGGUCACAACUAAAUCUAAGGGCCCUUUACUAUUCUUUAUCUUGAUAUGUUUGUCAGAUAGAGUCAAAAUCUAUUCUAAGGUCCCAAAUCAGAGCAAUGGAAUUUUGUCUGCUGUAUUUAAAACUAAUAAAUAAGUGCUUCUGAAUUUAUCUCAUCUUUUAAGAAUUUUAAUUUUUCUUUGUUGAUUAAUAACCUUAUCAUUAAAUAAAAAAAUGUGCUUUAUAGCAAUAUCACAUAUACAUUUCAACCUCAAAUUUUCAAUUACGAAAAAAAUUAGAGAGUACAUUAGUACAUGAAUCAUGACAAAAAAUUUAUCUCUCUGAAUAGAAAUAAAAAUUGAAUUAUAGGAAAGAAAGAAUAAAAACAAAAAAAGACAUUCCUCCUUUUUCCUUUUUCAAUUAGCUUCUUUUCUUUCUAUUUCUAUUUUUUUUAUUUCAUUCCUAUUCUCCUUUCUUAAAAAAAGGGUCUUUAACCAAAGUAAAAGAUUACUUCGUUCUUGAUAGUUAGUUACUUACUCAGUGGAUAGGAACAUACUCUGGAUCAGAAUCAUGGCGAGUACUUCUUAAUCAUUUCUACGAACGUAAAGCCCCAAUUAUAAUUCCUUUUAUGUAUAGAAAUAUCCUCUUGGAUAACUUACAUCAUCUCAAUUACUAAUCUUUUGUGUAUCUUGGUCUUCCUGACCAUCCACUCAUUUUUUGUUUCAAAAACCUCCCAUUGUGGAAAUCCAUCUAUGGUAAUAGACAGUAAAAACUCCAUAGAGUUGGUCUUUUGAACCCGCUUCAAGCUAUCAUGACAAUUCACGAAUCUUGGGGUAAACAAUCUCUCUUGCUUAUAUUUACUUUUUUCACCAUUUGAUUCUUGUACAUAGGAAAUGAGACUCAACUUUUUUACUGCAAAUUUAGAAGCCGUUUUCUUUCACUCAUAUAACUAUCUGAUUUAGUUCAUCAACUCAAAUGCUGAAGAAAAAAAAUAUAUAAUCAAUCAAAUCUUUUUAUCCUUGUUUCUAGAAAGAAAAGAAUUUGGAUAAAUUUUAGGUCUCACCGAAUCACACGUAGAGAUAUUGAUAACACACAUAGAGCUAAUGGUAUUUCAUAACUAAUUGAUUGAGCAGCUGCCCGUAGACCACCUAAAAAGGAAUAUUUAUUAUUUGAUCCAUACCCCGACAUAAGAAGUCCAACGGGAGCAAUACUUGAAAUGGCAAUCCAAAAAAAAACACCAAUACUAAGAUCGGCUAGAACAAGGUGAUCACCAAAAGGAAUUACUGAAUAACUUAGAAAGAUAGAUAUUACUGCUAUGGAUGGUCCGAUACUGAAUAAACGAGUAUCUCCUGUAGAUGGAAUAAGGUUCUCUUUCAAAAGUAGUUUUGUCCCAUCUGCUAGAGCUUGAAGAAUUCCUAACGGGCCGGCAUAUUCAGGCCCAAU
rnacentral:lncRNA from 1 species